CCCUUAGAUGUUCUGGGCCGCACGCGCGCUACACUGAUGCAUUCAACGAGUUUCUUCCUGGUUCGAGAGGAAUGGGUAACCUUUUGAAAGUGCAUCGUGAUAGGGAUAGACUAUUGCAAUUAUUGGUCUUCAACGAGGAAUUCCUAGUAGACGUAGUUCAUCAGACUGCAUCGAUUACGUCCCUGCCCUUUGUACACACCGCCCGUCGCUCCUACCGAUUGAAUGCUCAGGUGAGCCAUUCGGACUUUCAUCAUGCUGGUUUCCAGUUUUGAUGAAGGAAAGUCUUGCGAACCUUAUCAUUUAGAGGAAGGAGAAGUCGUAACA
rnacentral:rRNA from 1 species